GAUGAACGCUGGCGGCGUGCCUAAUACAUGCAAGUCGAGCGAACAGACGAGGAGCUUGCUCCUCUGACGUUAGCGGCGGACGGGUGAGUCACACGUGGAUAACCUCCCUAUAAGACUGGGAUAACUUCGGGAAACCGGAGCUAAUACCGGAUAAUAUAUUGAACCGCAUGGUUCAAUAGUGAAAGACGGUUUUGCUGUCACUUAUCGAUGGAUCCGCGCCGCAUUAGCUAGUUGGUAAGGUAACGGCUUACCACGGCAACGAUGCGUAGCCGACCUGCGAGGGUGAUCGGCCACACUGGAACUGAGACACGGUCCAGACUCCUACGGGAGGCAGCAGUAGGGAAUCUUCCGCAAUGGGCGAAAGCCUGACGGAGCAACGCCGCGUGAGUGAUGAAGGUCUUCGGAUCGUAAAACUCUGUUAUUAGGGAAGAACAAAUGUGUAAGUAACUAUGCACGUCGUGACGGUACCUAAUCAGAAAGCCACGGCUAACUACGUG
rnacentral:rRNA from 1 species